CAUAUAACAUUCAGUUCUCCAAAGAGAGCUAGCGUGUGAGGAAGGUUCGCUUAUAGCGGAAGACUGACCGUUCGAAGGAAGAUAUCUAAAGAGAAGACUCAAGCGUGAAAAGAAAGCUAUGGAGGCGAAGCUUUGUUUGGUCCUGAUGUUGAUUAUUUUGGGCACCCUUACCGUACAAGGAGCAGUCCCAAGAAGCAAGAAGAAGAACCCCUUGGAAAUGUUUGCCAGGAUAGUUUUACUGUGCACUGACGUGGGCGGUUUCUGUACCGCUCUUUUGCCCUGCCCAGA